AGAGUUUGAUCCUGGCUCAGAUUGAACGCUGGCGGCAUGCCUUACACAUGCAAGUCGAACGGUAACAGGUCUUCGGAUGCUGACGAGUGGCGAACGGGUGAGUAAUAUAUCGGAACGUGCCCAGUCGUGGGGGAUAACGCAGCGAAAGCUGUGCUAAUACCGCAUACGAUCUAUGGAUGAAAGCGGGGGAUCGCAAGACCUCGCGCGAUUGGAGCGGCCGAUAUCAGAUUAGGUAGUUGGUGGGGUAAAGGCCCACCAAGCCAACGAUCUGUAGCUGGUCUGAGAGGACGACCAGCCACACUGGAACUGAGACACGGUCCAGACUCCUACGGGAGGCAGCAGUGGGGAAUUUUGGACAAUGGGCGCAAGCCUGAUCCAGCAAUGCCGCGUGCAGGAUGAAGGCCUUCGGGUUGUAAACUGCUUUUGUACGGAACGAAAAGGCUCUGGUUAAUACCUGGGGCUCAUGACGGUACCGUAAGAAUAAGCACCGGCUAACUACGUGCCAGCAGCCGCGGUAAUACGUAGGGUGCAAGCGUUAAUCGGAAUUACUGGGCGUAAAGCGUGCGCAGGCGGUUAUAUAAGUCAGAUGUGAAAUCCCCGGGCUCAACCUGGGACCUGCAUUUG
rnacentral:rRNA from 1 species